GACGAACCGGACAAACGUUAUUCGGAAUUACUGGGCUUAAAGGGUUUGUAGGCGGCCUUGUAAGUCAGGUGUGAAAUCCCUCGGCUCAACCGAGGAAUGGCGCUUGAUACUGCAAGGCUUGAGGGAGACAGGGGUAAGCGGAACUGAUGGUUGAGCGGUGAAAUGCGUUGAUAUCAUCAGGAACACCGGUGGCGAAAGCGGCUUACUGGGUCUCUUCUGACGCUGAGGAGCGAAAGCGUGGGUAGCGAACAGG
rnacentral:rRNA from 1 species